ACCUAACCCCUCCUAACAGCUAGCCUACCCCCUAAAUUCAACAAACAAACAUAAACUAACCCCAAAUACCCAAAAACAACAUAACAAACCAUUUUUCCCCCUUAGUAUGGGUGAC
rnacentral:rRNA from 1 species